ACCUUUUCAGAUGAACUCUUGGCUUUUUUCCUUGACAAUAAAUCCAGAUUUAACUGGGUUAUUCACUGAAGUCUAUUUCUUUGCUGAACUUUUCCUAUUGUUUUUAUAUUCUCAGAGGAGAUACAACAGCCACGUCUAACAUACAAUGUGCAACAUUUGUAACUUAUUUUGCAAGUUUGUUUUCCAUGUGGUGGAAAAAUUGCAAAAAGAAGGUUGGAUGAUCACUUUAAUUUUUUUUUAACGUAAAGAAAGCAAAAAAAAAACCCACCAAAAAACCCACAUUCCCAGCAACCUCCAAGUCUUGGAGCCAGUCAAUAUAUUUACAGGGGUGACUCAUGGAUGGCUUUUUUAUUGCAUUGUGUGAAGCUGGAUUUGUAUACCUAACUAAAAAGGAAUCCAGAAAGCAGGCUUGGCCAGUGGAAGUGAGAAUACAUGGAGAAAAGGUAGGUAGGCGAAAUCUUUCUGUGGGAAUGGCUGCUUACUGAGGACUGUAGUUCUGUGGACAGAAGUCACUUAGAAAAUGGAGUUUAUAAGGGCCAUUCCCCUAGACCAGUUACAUGUAGUGGGACUAUUGUUUCCCAUAUAGCAUGUUUGAGGGCCGGAUUAUAUUAAGAUUGAUGUUAUACAGUGAAGUCUAUGGAGCUGUAGAGAAGACUGGAGGCCCCAGGCCUCGUUUGGAGGACCCCAAGCCUCCAGUUGGACAGCCCUGCCCUAGACUAUAAUAUAUAUUAUUAUAGUUCACUUACUAGGGGCAAAAAAAAAAAUUAAAAAAAAAUGACUCAUGGAGGAGGGGCUUUUGGUACUGUCUGGUGUAGGAUGUGUUGUUAUUGUAGGUCACAGUGAAACAUUCAGUUGCUUUUAAAACAGUGUAACCUAAUCCUUCAGCUCCAGAAAGAUAAACCUGUUUAACUGGUUUGUGAACUUUUAUCUUAAGGGACCAGUGAUGUCAUGGUCAUAUAUCCCUCAGCCUUAAAUUACAGUCAGUGUUAGCGACUUGAAGAGACUCUUCAGCACUCACUUGUGCUAUAGCCAAAGACAUAAGGAAAGGUGCAGCUUUAGGCAAGCUGGCAGGUGAUUUCCCACAAUGUCACUGUUAAUAUUAUGGUAGGCUGGUUCUCACACAGAUUAUUUGAAUAAUUCAUAUCUUCUAAGGAAUACCCCAUGGUGUGGCUCUUUUUUUCCUGGGCGACAUGAAAAGAACCAGGCUGUGGCAUUCACUAGCAAGUGUCAGCGCUGCUCUACCAUUUGACCACUGCUUGGUUGGAUAUCAAUAUAAUGUCAUUUUGUAUUGAACAAUCUAUAUCCUUAAAGAGAGAAGAGAGGAAAGAGAGAAGAAGGAAGAGAGAAGUGGUCCCAUUCUUGAUAAAUAGUGGGGCCAAAGGGUGAAUAAGAAAAACACAACAAGAAAAUAAAAAUAAAAGAAAAAAAAAAAUUUAACGUGACGGUUUCUUUAUAUUCAAAAUUGGUCAUUUGAACUUAAUAGUAUGGUGUAGCCUUUGAGGUCCCAUAUUAAAAAUAAAACUCAAUAAGGUCAGCAUCUGUGGGAGAACCGUUUGUAUUCAGCCCCAAUAAAGUUUACCUUGAUUCUUA